UUUGUGAUGAACACAAUCGCUACCAUGAUGCAAAAUCAUGAUUAGACUCUUUAUCCUCUAAGAAGUUCUGAGAUG